CAAUUCCUAAUUCCCAAUAUCCCAUCUCAAUCUACCUUCUUUCAUCUCCCAGCCAUUCCCUGUGUGCUGUCCCUCCAUCCCUGUCCCCAGCCCCUCUGCAGCUCUCCUGGAGCCCCUUCAGGCCCUGCCAGGGCUCUCUCCUGCCCAGCAGCUGCAGAAUUCCUGAAUCCCAGCAGGAUUACCGUGCUCCAGCCGUGCCCGCCGAGGGGUCGGUGCCUCAGCCUGCAGUGCUGGGCCUGUGCCUCGUGGUGCCGCACGAUGGUGCAGCUGGUGCCUGAGGAAUCAUCGAAUUCCACCGAAAACUCGGGAGGGAGCGGCUUCACUGGCACCCAAACAGAGAAACAAACAGAGAAACAGAGAAAGAAACAGGGCUCAGAGAGGCAGCACAGCACUGAAGGGGGUCAGGUGGAAAAUAGGAUUAUUGCUUUAGGCUGAAUGGGUGUUUUGUCCAAGAGGUUUAAUGUUUAAUGUUUUUUCCAAGAGCUUCUGACUAUUUUCAGGUCUCCCCAAGGUCUGGGGCUGUCUGAGAGGGGGGCAGUGGUGCCUUACCUAUGUCUAUCAGUGUGAAGGUGAGCGGCUGGGAAGAGGCAUUUCCUAAUGGAUUGGAGGCAGAAACCACCACGCUGUAAUUGGAGCCAAAAUCCAGCCUGCUCAGAGCCCCAGAGCCAAACAACACCUGGCUGGGAGCUUCUUCUGGAAAGGAAAAGGUGUUGGUGCCGUUGGAGAGCCUGCAGCAGGAGCAGAGGAUUGGUUGGAUUUCUGUGGAGCAGGAAGGACGGGCUGCGCUCCAGCAGGAGCCUCCCCAGGGGUUUGGUGGCGAAAUUCCAGGCUGUGCACAGGAACUGCUGGGUGGGAUCAGCAGCCACAGGUCGCUCCCAGUCCCCAAAAACACAGGUAAAGCCAGGUAAAAAGGGCCAGAACCCUCCUUUUGUUGGGAUUGGGAAAGUGCCUGGGUCAGCAGAGGUGCAGGAAGGCCCUGGAGCCAGGCUGGGACACCUGGGGGUGCUCACCUGGAGAGGAGAAGGAUCCAGGGAGAGCUCAGAGCCCUGGCAGGGCCUGAAGGGGCUCCAGGAGAGCUGAGAGGGGCUGGGGACAGGCAUGGAGGGACAGCACACAGGGAGUGGCUGCCAGAGAUGGAUGGGACAUUGGGAAUUGGGAAUUGUUCCUGGCAGGGUGGGCAGCCCUGGAAUAGAAUUCCCAGAUUUGCUGUGGCUGCCCCUGGAUCCCUGCAGUGCCCAAGGCCAGGCUGGACACUGGGACACCCUGGGACAGUGGGAGGUGUCCCUGCCAUGGCAGGGGUGGCUCUGGGUGGGAUUUAAGGUCCUUCCAACCCAAACCCAAAUUCUGGGAUUCUGUGAAUCCAUUUUUUCCUGUUUAUGAGCUCUGCCUGUCCCGGUGCCUUUUGUCACAAACCCAACAGCUCUGCCUGGAACUGAAAACCAACCAAACUCCCUGCAUCACUGAUGAACCCAGAAAGGAAAAUGUUCACUGGCAUUUGGGGUAGAAGCUGGAAAAACCCCACCCUAAUUAGGCUGAGUGCUUAAUCUGAGAGUUAAUUGCUGUGUAGGAAGAAGCUUUUCUUACCUGCUGUGAGGUGCAGCACCAACCAAAGUGCUGAGGGCACGAUCCGUGGAAAUGGCAUUUUGGUGCCUGGGGAGAGAGGAAUUCCUGUUACCAGCUCCAAAAAAAGUGGGGCUA
ensembl:lncRNA